rnacentral:pre_miRNA from 1 species
CUAAUACUCCCUCCGUCUGGAAAUACUUGUCAUAAGAAUGGAUGUACCUAGAUGUAUUUUAGUUCUAGAUACAUCCAUUUGUAUCCAUUUGUGCGACAAGUAUUUGUGGACCGAGGGAGUAUUUC